rnacentral:rRNA from 1 species
GAUGAACGCUGGCGGCGUGCCUAAUACAUGCAAGUCGAGCGAACAGACGAGGAGCUUGCUCCUCUGACGUUAGCGGCGGACGGGUGCGUAACACGUGGAUAACCUACCUAUACGACUGGGAUAACUUCGGGAAACAGGAGCUAAUACCGGAUAAUAUAUUGAACCGCAUGGUUCACUAGUGAAAGACGGUUUUGCUGUCACUUAUAGAUGGAUCCGCGCCGCAUUAGCUAGUUGGUAAGGUAACGGCUUACCAAGGCAACGAUGCGUAGCCGACCUGAGAGGGUGGUCGGCCACACUGUAACUGAGACACAUUCCAGACUCCGACAGUGGGCAGCAGUAGAGAAUCUUCCGCAAUGGGCGAAAGCCGGACGGUGCAACGCCGCGUGAGUGAUGAAGGUCUUCGGAUCGGAAAACUCUGUUAUUAGUGAAGAACAAAUGUGUAAGUAACUAUGCACGUCUUGACGGUACCUAAUCAGAAAGCCACGGCUAACUACGUG